rnacentral:misc_RNA from 1 species
UCUCCGUUGGUGAACCAGCGGAGGGAUCAUUAUCGAGUUUAUAACUCCCAAACCCGAUGUGAACUACCACUUGUUGCUUUGGCGCGCGCAUCGGUGCCGCCGAGGACAAGUAAACUCUUUGUUUUUAUCAGCAUUUCUGGGUGGCCGAAAGGCAAAAUACAAAUGAAUCAAAACUUUCAACAACGGAUCUCUUGGUUCUG